UUGAAGUAGAUACAUUUUGAGCCAACCAGCCACGGACUCCCACCCCCUGAGUUCUGCCCCAAAUCUCGAGGCUCCGUGGACAACCCAGUUAAGCAGCGCUUCUCAAAAAGUGACACCUUGGCCCGACUCCGUGUCUGGGUGUGUCCCCGUUACAACAGCACGCCCGCACCGCGCUCUGGCACUGGUCCGCAAGCGCCGAGCGGGGCCGGCAGACGGCUACCGUCUUCCUUUGGCAGAAGAGGAGAUGAAUGCCUUGCUGGAGGUGGUGUCGCCACCCAGCAGCAGGCCUGGGGGACGGGGUGCCCGGUCUCCUGGGUCUUUGUACCAAGCCUCGUGGAUCCCUGCAGCUCCAAACAGACCAGGGCGGCUCCAGGUGACUGGCCGAGACAGCCUGGGACCCCCGACAUCAGCCUCCAGAAGCUUCUCCUCCUUCUGUACUGAGUACCUGGAUCCUUCUCCUCCCUGGAAAUCCUGAGGCCACUGGAAGGAACAGAAGACUCGAGAAGGUGUUUGGGCGACCGUGUGAGAUUCCUCCAUGGAUUGCCCCCAUAGCACUGAGGACAUGUCCCAUCAAAGACACUAAGACUGGAAUCAUCUUGUUCUGGGGAGUGAUGUCACCGUUUCUUUCGGCAGGUGGGACCGGGAUGCUCGUCAGAGCCCCCAAGGUGACCACGGGAUUGGCUCUCUGCUCCCAGCACUGAGGGAGCCACGUCCGUGGCAUCUGGAUGCUCCGUCUGCUCUCACAGGCUUGUUCCCGGGUCUGCACCUGCAGGCGUCAGCCAGCCCCAACGGCGGACGCUGCGGGAGGAUGAGCCCGAAGUGGCCGAGGCCGCAGGGCGCUGCAGUCAGAGCGUGAGCCUCGUCCUGCAGUGUGAAGGGGGCUCUCCAGCUGCACUGCCCGGGGCCAGUCCCGCCUCUUGGGUUGUUUCAAGGGGUGGAAAUACAUGUGCAAGCCUCACAGAGUGUUAGAGCUGGACGGGGGACAGCAGUGGGAGCUGUCAUUUACUAAGCACCUACUGCAUACCAGGCACACGGAGAUGAUUUCUGACGCUCACCAAGGCCCGAGCAGGCACCCUUAUCACCAGGUCACCGGGAGGCCAAGGGGCUGUGGGAGGCGGAGAGUGUGGUCGGGGGCACAGACUUGCAUUCAGUCGCAGCUCUGCCACUUGCCAGCGGCAGGACAGCAGGCAACUCCCUUAAACUCUCUGCGUCUCAGCUUCCUCAUUUGUACGACGGGGAAGUUACGAUGGUAGCCACCCUCUAGGGUGGUAGCGGGUUCUGUCCAAGCAGGUGCUCACAGCAGGACCUGGCACCCGGGAGGGGCUGCGAGAAUGUCAGCUCUCCACGUGGGGGAUGAGUGAUUUGGGCCCAGGUCUUGGGGCAGCAAUCACCUCCAGGUCAGAGAUCCCGGGCUGUCCGGCCUCAAAGCCCAGGCUCUUCAUCUGACAAAAGAGGAAGUCUGCACAGCGGGAGGGGUGUCAGGACAAAGGACUGGUCGAGCUUCUGUGACCGCCCCAGGGCCAGCAGCCCUUUUGGAUGAGCCCAGUGUAGUGUCCGCCCCAUGAAACACUGCCUUUGGAAUGAAAGUCACCUCUCACAAGUGAGCUCCUUUGACCUCUGGGUUCUCUGAUGUGACGGCUGGCGGCCAGGGUGGAAGGCAGGAGCCACUGCCUCUUAACUGCUUCUGCCCCAGACUGUACCCUCCAGCCCUGACUCUCUUCAGACCGUAGAGCGCUUCCCAACAACCGGGUGUGGAUGGGGGAGAACCACGACCAGGGACCAGCGUGCAGGAGAUCUGCAUGGAUUUCUAACCACCCUUUGCUACCAACCUUUCCAUUUUAUUUGAAAUAAAUAUUCAAGAUUA